rnacentral:rRNA from 1 species
GACGAACGCUGGCGGCGUGCUUAACACAUGCAAGUCGAACGAGACGAUUGAAAGCUUGCUUUUAAAAGUCGAGUGGCAAACGGGUGAGUAACGCGUAGACAACCUGCCUUUGAGAUGGGGACAGCAGUUCGAAAGGACUGCUAAUACCGAAUGUUGUAUAUUUUCCACAUGGAAGAUAUAUUAAAGAUGGCCUCUAUUUAUAAGCUAUCGCUCAAAGAUGGGUCUGCGUCUGAUUAGCUGGUUGGUGGGGUAACGGCCUACCAAGGCGACGAUCAGUAGCCGGUCUGAGAGGAUGAACGGCCACAUUGGGACUGAGACAUGGCCCAGACUCCUACGGGAGGCAGCAGUGGGGAAUCUUCCACAAUGGACGAAAGUCUGAUGGAGCAACGCCGCGUGGGUGAAGAAGGGUUUCGGCUCGUAAAGCUCUGUUGUCGGGGACGAAUGUGCAGUAUUUGAAUAAAGUACUGCAAUGACGGUACCUGACGAGGAAGCCACGGCUAACUACGUGCCAGCAGCCGCAGUAA